AAUUCAGCCUAAAAAGGGCCCAAUUCCCAGAGGCAAAUAAGAAAGGCGUUUAUGACAGGACCAAACAGAGCCGUUAUCAGAGGCUAUUUUCAGUCCGUCCGGCGAAGAAGCCAUGGAAUCAGAGCACAAGGCUGUCAAAAACGUCAAUGAGGAGGCCGAGGUGGAGGUCUGCAGCACGACGGAGAAACACCCCAAUCGUGAAGGAUAGACGUGGAGGAAGGGCAUGCCUUUAGAAACCCUAAUUUCUAGGGUUGAAGUGAUGGGGAGCUUCCUUGGAAAAAUUCUCUGUGAUUUGGAUGUGAUCAACGGAAUUAGUGAUUGGAUGAGCAAAUGUGCAAUUGAAGAAAAGAUGCGAGUGUGAUUGAGGCAUCGAUUGACACAGAGAGCAAAUGUUCUGAAUUUGAUGGUGAUAUGUAGCUACAAGUGUGCUUGAGAGUUUAGAUGGAAGGCCGAUGGAGAAACAGACCAAACAAGCAUGUCAUUGAUGGAAGAGCUCCGGAAUAGAGGUAGCCAAGCAAUAGGGAAAAGAUCAUUAGUUAUCAAGCCAGUAGGAAGUGGCAUUGCCAUUGCCGAUCUUGUGUUAUCAAGCCAGUAGGAAGUGGCAUUGCCAUUGCCGAUCUUGUGUUUGAUGAUUUGUCGUGCAGGUUGCCAGCUCGAAGAACAUGAGUGAGGAAUCUUCAAGCUCCAGAGACUCUUAUCUUUAAUCAGGCAAGUCUUGCACUAUUUUUUUCCCUUCGAAUUGUUAUUUUGCCAGAUAAUAAUCACUUUAUUUUCUCCAGUUCUUCUGGGCAGAUUUUGGAGGUUUAUAUUUUUCUGCCAGUCAGUUUUAUUUGAAACGCAUUUGUGAGACGGAUCUGGGAAUUGUGUCUCAGUGCUGUUUGACAUGUAUACAAAAUUAGUAAGCAAAAUCUUGCAAAUGUGGCUAUGAAGAUUAGUGUAAAUUAUAUUGACCUUCAAAAUAGACUAAUUUUUUAGAAUAACAUGGAUGUCCCUAUCUAAUAUGUCAUUAUAGCAUCCAAUUAGAAUGAUGUCUUCGUUUAAAAAAUUAUGAAUAUAAUUUUGUUCUUAAGACGUAAAUUACACUGUUGUUUUUGCGCUAAUGCUAUCAAGUCAUUUUGUAUGACUUAAAUUUUUUAAUUUCACGAUUUAGGUAAUUUAACUUAAAUAUGCUUUAAUUAUAAAAAAUAAAAAAUAAAAAAUAAAAAAAUAAAAAUAAAAACAAACCCUGGAACUGUGGUAUCAAACCAAAUCAGACCAUUUUCUCACGCCUUGGUUUAGUUCAGUUCAGUUUUAUUGAUUUUACGGUUUGAUUUGAUUUCAAUUUUUAUGAAACUGUCAAGAGCGAUUUGAAUUUAAAAUAAUUCUAAAUCAGUCCAAUCCGAACCGUGUGCAACACCCUAGUUGUUGAGAAAAUGAGAGUGAGUGUGCCACAUAGCAUAUUACUCCCACAUUUUUAAGGAAGAUAACGCUUGUGGAUAAAGAAGUAUAAAUUAAGGCCCUUUCACUAUUAGUAUUACUCCCCCAGCUGAUAGAUUGGACAUCAAUGGCUACUUCAACACUCUUACCAUCUUCAACUCUCUGUUCCAUUUCCACAACCAAAUCUACUACCCCUUCUUCUUCUUCUUUGAUCCUUCCAAUUCUUCAAAUUUCUCAAUUUCAAAGUCAUGGAAACAUUGCCUGUCGUUACCCUAAUUUAUCACUAUUCACUAGUCAACAAGUUGACAAAAUCAAGAACCAUUGUUAGGUCAGUAGCAGAGGAACCCUAAUUCCAGAAGAUGCAGAGCAGAACACUGCUACCAUAGAAGGAGAAGAAGCGCCCACCACUGACCAGACAGUUUCCGUUCCAGUCUCGCCUUCCGACAUACUAAACAUGUUCUUUCAGGUACUAAUAUGCCACCAAAUGUCUCUGUGUGAGUGUGUGAACUUCAACUUGGAAUUUUGGUAAUUUGUAUGUCUUGCUUAUGAGAAAUUCUGAUUAGUAUGUGCAUGUUGAUGGUUUGAGUAGUGAACACCUCAAUUUUGCUCUAUGCCCAAUGAAUUAUUUGUUACUUUAACAAAAUCAUUUAUUAGUCAUCAACUGGAUAAAUUUUUACGAAAAAUGCUGCAACUUUGAAUAAAAUUUAAGCAUUAUCUUAAUUUUGUCUAUAAUUAUUGUAUAUGGCAUUACACAAAUUUUUAUUGAACUAUGUAAAAUUUAUUGAAAAUGAAAAGUGAUGGCUGUUAAUUCUGUUAAUUGGGAGGGGAGAGUAGUGAACACCUCAAUCGAACCAUGGAUUCCAUGAAAACAAGGACAUGAAUGGCAUUUUUUUCCCCUGCGGGAAGAAAAUAUAUUGAAGGAAAGAAAUAAUGUACAUGGAAAGAAAUAAUGUACUGUAGUGAAGGCAUACCUUUACAAUAGAAAAGAAAUACAAUGUUAAAGCAACAUUUUCAAUAGCAAUGGAAAAUGGAGACAAAAUGGAUGUUUUACUCUUCAGGACAUGUAUAGCAUUUACUAUUUCUAUUACAAGGGAAAAAUGAUAAUGCUCACAUUAUUUCACUACUCUUAACGCCUCAAAUACGAGGCAUUUGUGGUAUCGUUAUAAUAAUUAAGUGAUAAUAACAUAUUUGGUUGUUUUUCCUUUGAUUCAUAGUCAUCUAUUUGGUGAUUUGAAAAAGUUUUAAAAAAUACUUAAUUUAGUUUUGAAUCAUUAAAUACUCUGUACUUGAAUCCUUCUGUACUUUUCCAUACAUUGAUUUGUUUUCUUGAAGACCUCACAAUCCUAAUUUAUUAUAUGAUCUUGGGAGUCAUGAAUGAAAAUUAUGUGCUUUUAUAUCACUUACAUCCUUAACUUUCUGAAUAUCAAGGCGGACACUAAAUGAGGCCGGUAUUCCUAUAGUGACCAAGGCUUUAGAGGUACAUCUAUCUUUGAUCUUCAAAUUGUCUCAUGUUUUGAACUUUUCAAACGCGUAAGUAUUUCCCUUCCUAUUCCCUUUUUUAAAAAAAAUUCUGUUAGAUUUUGUGUGCAGUUUUAAGCUCACCAUCUUCAUGGUGAAAUCUCCCAAUUCUCACUAUUGUAUCAUUGUUGGCUCUCCAUGUUCGUUUGGUUGGUCAGUUAAAAAAAGUUCCUUUUGCAAUGUAAUGAGUUACUGUUCUAUCUCAUUUAGGGUAUCUCAAAUGUUUUCUUGUGUGCGAAAUCCUCUAAUAUUGUCUGUCACAUUGUAUAAUAAUUCACUAUGUUUUACUUUUUAACCUUUGCAAUUGUAUAUUCAUUUACUAUUUUGCAGGAAGCAGAGGGCAUUACAAAUUUAAAAGUUCAAGUCCUUGAGGGUUAUUGCUAGUGUUGAGUUAACAAAACAGACGACUGUACAAGCAGCAGGGGUAGCUUCCAGUUUAGUUGAGAUCAUACAAGGUUCAGGCUUCAAGUUGCAAACAUUGAAUUUGAGUUUUGAGGAUGAAGAAGACAUCAACUAGACUUCAUGUGCUGGUUUAGUUGUUUGAGCAAAAAAAAAAAAUGUUUGAAACUCCUCCCAAGAAUCUUGGAAUCCAGGCAGAUGCUGGAAAAUGUAUUGAGUUUACUCGGGGUGGUUAGUUUUAUCGGCCUCUUCUCUUGUACGAUGUUGUGCAAUUACUUUAUCAGUGGAAGUAGUUGAAGUUCACAAUUUGGAUUGAGAUUGUCUAAAUUUGUUUGAUCAAACUUUGUUUUGCAAGCUGUUCUGAAAUCCAGAAUGCCAAUAUUGUGGCUUUUGUUUCCCUGAAGUUACACGGUCCCAAGUUGUAUUACAUGCAGUGGUGGUUGUGUGAUGCAGGUUUCAUUUCAGGCCACCUUUGAUUAACCAUCAUGGACUUAUUUUGGACUGAAAAACUACCAUCAGUUAAUUGAAUAAUCUGCAAGGCCCUGUAAAGUUCUCAGGUGAUACCUUAUUUAUUUCCAUUGUUAGCAGUGCAGUUCGGACUGAGAGAUCAACUAUUUGAGCACAACCAAAGCUAUAAAACUCUCAACUUAUGCUUGGGGCUGACCUGACCUCCAACUUGACAUGGUACUCCUGGUGCAUUAAAGUUUUUAUCCUUGGAGACGAGAAAAACUUCAAUGUUAAAUAAACUAAAAAUGAGAUAUAUUGCUUUAGGAGGAGAAUUCCACCGAGUCCAGUGAGUUUCAACCUUAAAAUUAGAUUUGUAACUUUUGCUUGUACUUGAAAUUGCCUUUAUGUAGCAAAGCUGAAACUGACAAUCUAAUAGCUUGAAUUAAUGCUAGCUUGUAACUAUAAGUCUAUAACAGUACACAUUACUCCUAUAUAUGCCUCAGCCUUUUGCUAUCUCUCUCAUCAUUUGACACAACUGAUCUCCACCCAUCUUUGCUUCUUUUCUUCGAGAUUAACAAUGGCCAUGAAAGCCAUGUUCCUGUUAGCCUGUUUGUUUUUAGUCACCAUAAGGGUAUGUGAUACAUCUCUCUCUCUCUCUCUCUAUACACUCAUGCUUACUUUUUCCUGGUUUUUUUUCCAAUUGAUUUUAUAUAAUGUUCUGAAACUCAUCAAUAUAGUUUGAUUUUGUAGGUAUCGUCUAUGGCAGAGGAAGACACGAAGGUAAUUCAAGACACACAAUCUAAUUAGCAACUAUGCUAAGAAUGUCCAUGCCAAACUCCAAGUCAAGGCUCCAUGCCAUACAAAUGUAAUUCAUGCCCCAGUAGAAGCUCCUGUCAAGGCUCCUGCCCAUUCCCUAGCAAAGGCUGAUUAUCCCCAUGCCCCAAGGCUCCAACCUAUCCGCCAACAAAGGCUUACCCUAAUGCCCCAAGUAAGGCUCCUACUCAUCCCCAAAGUCCAGGAAAGGCUCCUGUUCAUUCCCAAACCCCUCAUGCCCCAGGUAAGGCUCCAGCCCAUCCCCCAGCAAAGGCCCUCAUGCCCCAAGUAAGGCUCCUACUCUUCCACAUGCUCCAGGAAAGGCUCCUGCUAUUCCCCAGUAAAGGCUCCUGUCCAUUCCCCGGGAAAGGCUCCAACCCAUCCCCCAGCAAAGGCUUCUACUCAUUCCCCUGAAAAGACUCCUGUUCAAUCCCCAGCAAAGGCUCAUCCUAAUUCCUCAAGUAGGGCUCCAGCUCAUCCCCCGGCAAAGGCCUAUCCUCAUACUCCAAUUAAGGCUCCUACUCUUCCGCAUGCUCCAGAAAAGGCUCCAGCUCAUUCCCCAGCAAAGGAUCAUCCUUAAUCCCCAAGUAAGGCUCCUGCCCAUUCCCCAGCAACGGCUCCUCCUAUUGCCCCAAGUAAGGCUCGUGCUCAUCCCCAAGCUCCAGGAAAUGCUCCUUGCUCAUAUCCCGUUGAAGGCUGAAGCUCCAGUCCCACUAGUGGCUCUUAAACAUGGUACAAAGCCUAUGCAAUGCAAAAAAAAAAAAAAAAAAGGCAAAUUUGCUUCAAUUAUAAUUAGUUGCUGAGCUUGAUGAUUAUGUUCUGACAGGGUUUAUUGGACUCAAUCCUGUUGCUUCAUAUUUGUUAAUUUAUUUAAUUUUUAUGUUGA